rnacentral:rRNA from 1 species
AUGAACCCUACCUCGGCGCCGGGGCCUGAUGGCCUUCCGGUUAAAUUCUUCCAGACCUUCUGGAACGUGAUUAAACCUAAGAUUAUGGCCAUCUUCGACGACUUCUACGUUGGGUCCAUCGACCUCGGAUGCCUCAACUAUGGGAUCAUCUCGCUCAUCCCCAAGGUCCCUGGGGCUUCCAACAUUCGCCAGUUCCGCCCGAUCACGGUCAUCAACGUGAUUUUUCAAAUUCUAGCGAAAGGGUACGCCAAUAGGUUGACCCUGCUAGCCGACCACAUUACCCACCCCAACCAGUCCGCCUUUAUCCAAGGGCAGUAUAUCCUGGAUGGGGUGCUAGUUCUUCACGAAGUUGUAACGCCCGGAUAA